CGUAGAUGGUGGGCCUCCUUUACUUCAUGCAUGAACUUGGAAACAGGAGCUGACACAGGAAGGAGGUGAAGGGAAAUCCCAGGAUGAUGACGCAGGGAAGUCCCCCAAAGAACAGCUGUGCAGCAAGCAAGCAGCCCAGAGUGGAGCCACACAUGGGGUUCCAGAAAAAAUGUACUGAAACUCAACAGCCCCUAAUGAGUUUGAAAUGAGAAAGUGUUAACAGUGAUUAUAUAUAGCCUUGAAAGGUGUUAUAUAGAUCUCUAACUUGAUCAAAGAAAACAUUAAUAAUGAUUAA